rnacentral:rRNA from 1 species
GGAGACCUCGGAUCAGGUAGGAAUACCCG